rnacentral:rRNA from 1 species
UGCGCAGGCGGCCGUGUAAGUCAGAGGUGAAAUAUGACGGCUCAACCGUCAAACUGCCUCUAAGACUGCUCGGCUUGAGUCCGGGAGAGGAAGGUGGAAUUCCUGGUGUAGCGGUGAAAUGCGUAAAUAUCAGGAGGAACACCGGUGGCGAAGGCGGCCUUCUGGCCCGGUACUGACGCUCAUGCACGAAAGCCAGGGGAGCGAACG